rnacentral:rRNA from 1 species
GACGAACGCUGGCGGCGUGCUUAACACAUGCAAGUCGAGCGGUAAGGCCCUUUCGGGGGUACACGAGCGGCGAACGGGUGAGUAACACGUGGGUGACCUGCCUUUAGCUCUGGGAUAAGCCUGGGAAACUGGGUCUAAUACCGGAUAUGACUCCAUGACGCAUGUUGUGGGGUGGAAAGCCUUGUGCGGCUAGGGAUGGGCCUGCGGCCUAUCAGCUUGUUGGUGGGGUGAUGGCCUACCAAGGCGACGACGGGUAGCCGGCCUGAGAGGGCGACCGGCCACACUGGGACUGAGACACGGCCCAGACUCCUACGGGAGGCAGCAGUGGGGAAUCUUGCGCAAUGGGCGAAAGCCUGACGCAGCGACGCCGCGUGGGGAUGAC